UUGCUUUGACAGCACAUAUGCUAAAAUUGGAAUAAUACAGAGAUUAUCAUGGCCCUUGCACAAGGACAACACACAAACUCAAGAAGCAUUCCAUAAUUUU
rnacentral:snRNA from 1 species